CUUCCUCGUAUCUCCCCUUCCAUGUAACGCCACCGUCACUCCACUGUCCGCCUUCCUCCGCCGGCCGGAAAUCGCCUCCGUUUGCGGCAAAGCUCCAAUCAACCCUAAAUUUGUACCCCGUGACCCUCUCUUCCUCCCCGUUCCAUGUCCAUCAUCAUCUUCUCUUGAAACCCAGCUCAUCUUUUAGAAUUUCAGAUCUAAAAAUGGAUGGAAACCGUAGUUCACCCAAACUUUCCCAAAUCGAUAUCAAAUGAUCCCAUAACCUUCCUCUCCACGAAUUCUUGGUUGAAACUCGUCGAACCUCUCUGAAAC
rnacentral:lncRNA from 1 species